rnacentral:piRNA from 1 species
UACUAACAGGAAUCAAGACCACUCAC